CUAACCUUUCAUAUACCUUACAUACAUUGGUAUCGUGGUGUAUACAGAUUUCAUCCUUAUUUAUCGAAUGUUAAACGAGGAUAGAAUGAUAUCUGGAUGCACGAUGCACGUAGGCGAUGUUUCUGAAGGUGGUCCUGGUGAGACGGAACAAAUCAGAGAGAAAUCUGGAAUAGAUUCAACAGAUUGUUUCAUGACAACCUCACACUAAUCAGGGUAGACAGCAUAUCCUCGGCAGUGCCGUAAAGUAGGGCCCGUUCGCCACCAUGAAACGCAUUUCUCGGCACCUCCAUCAUGUCUCGCUUGUGUAAUCUACGUUUGAUGAACGCCGCAAUGAAGUCAGCCAUCAUCAUACCUGCCUGUCGACUCUUCAGCUUCCUGUCGAAGCUCGGUGGCAGUGCGCCAUAUGGAUUCUCAUUGUCGCGUUUAACAUUUUGAAAAUAAUUCACCAAACAAAAGUGUUCUUGUUUUGUGUGUGCGUAAACGGGUUCACUUACUCGUGAAGGGU
rnacentral:lncRNA from 13 species